rnacentral:rRNA from 1 species
ACUGCUCAGUAACACGUAGUCAACAUGCCCAAAGGACGUGGAUAACCUCGGGAAACUGAGGAUAAACCGCGAUAGGUCAUAAGUACUGGAAUGUUUUAUGGCUCAAAUCUACAUGGCCUCUGGAUUGGACUGCGGCCGAUCAGGCUGUUGGUGAGGUAAUGGCCCACCAAACCUGUUACCGGUACGGGCUCUGAGAGGAGGAGCCCGGAGAUGGGCACUGAGACAAGGGCCCAGGCCCUAUGGGGCGCAGCAGGCGCGAAACCUCUGCAAUAGGCGAAAGCUUGACAGGGUUACUCUGAGUGAUUCCCGCUAAGGGAAUCUUUUGGCAUCUCUAAAAACGAUGUAGAAUAAGGGGUGGGCAAGUCUGGUGUCAGCCGCCGCGGUAAUACCAGCACCCCGAGUGGUCGGGACGAUUAUUGGGCCUAAAGCAUCCGUAGCCGGUCUUGCAAGUCUUCCGUUAAAUCCACCUGCUUAACAGAUGGGCUGCGGAAGAUACUACAAGACUAGGAGGCGGGAGAGGCAAGCGGUACUCAGUGGGUAGGGGUAAAAUCCUCUGAUCCAUUGAAGACCACCAGUGGCGAAGGCGGCUUGCCAGAACGCGCUCGACGGUGAGGGAUGAAAGCUGGGGGAGCAAACCGGAUUAGAUACCCGGGUAGUCCCAGCUGUAAACGAUGCAGACUCGGUGAUGGGUUGGCUUUGCGCCAACCCAGUGCCGCAGGGAAGCCGUUAAGUCUGCCGCCUGGGGAGUACGGUCGCAAGACUGAAACUUAAAGGAAUUGGCGGGGGAGCA